rnacentral:lncRNA from 1 species
UAAACAUGAAGGCUCUGAAAAAAAAAAACGUUGUGUCUUACCUUCAAUUUCAAGAUGAUAGAAUUAGGGGAGGAUUUAUCAGAUUCUGAAUUUCCCCAUUUUCUUGGAAGUUCUGUGGUAAAAUAAAACGCCAUGGAGUUUAAAUAUCUUGAAGAAAUGAAAGUCUCGGGUGCUUUUGCAGUUAGUUUGGUUGAAUGAUCAAAAUCUAGUAGAUAUCUGAUGUUACAAAUUUGAAGUGCUCCUCAUUUGUUCACAUACCUUUUGCCUUCUGAGGUCAGUGACAUGAUCUUAGAUGGCUGUCGGGGAUAAAGUUAGUUAUUUUCUUUCCUGUUGGAUAUCAUUCUACUCUUUACUGUUAUCCUUCUUGUCCGUGGAUCCCUUGUCCGUCAGUAGUUCAUAAAGUUUUUGAUGAUGAGAUUGCAUUGAAUGAGCAUGGAUCUGUAAUAGUUUCCCGAUUAUGAUGCUUUUGAGCAUCACUUUACGCAGGUGACUUGUCCACUAAAUGUUAGUCAUAACUGGAUUUUGUAACUUCAUGUUGUGAACAAUUUCUUUCAGUUCAUGGGUAUUCUGUGAUGGUGUAGUUGUGAGGUUGGUUACUGAGGCUGAACUAGCAAAACUUGGUUGCAGGCUCCAGUGGUUCUGUGCUGGUUAAUUCAAGGAUCCUUUUUCCUUUUCUUUAACGUGUUGGUAACCUCUCAAGGUGGUGGUGUGCUAGCUGCUGGAUGACGCGUCUUCCCUGGGUGACGACUAAAAGUUGGUUGCAUGUUCUUUGUAUCUAUCUGCUUUGUCCAAUCUUGUUUUGAAUUCAAUGAUUCUUCAUUUCAUCUUUUUUGAAGAUAUAAAAACCAAGUUCAAUUGUUUUCAAAAAAGAUGCUACUGGGACGCAGCACUGGAGAUUUAUGAUUCUUAAGGAUUUUGAAAAGGGCAGAUUGGCUUCUUUCGCUGAUAGCAUACUCUAUUUUAAAUAGUGUGAUUGACUUUGCAUCUCUUCUUUGAGCGAUUGAAUUUGCAGUUCUGCAAGGCUUCAUGGUGAUAUUCGUGAGUUGAAAUUUCUGCNUUCUGCAUUUACUAAUGGAUAAGAGUAUUCACAAUUCUGCUCGUCAGUUUUCCAUGUACAUAUCUUAUCUCUGAAGGGGUAUUAUGAGAUGAGGUCAACAGGCAGACUUAUGUUUCACUUGGUUAGAACAUCUAUUCCGAAUACUUCUACUGUUUAGGCUUAGUGUUCGUAGUGAAAGGCAGUUCUGAAGCUAAAGAAUUAUUUCACGUGGUUUGUUUAGGAUAAUAUUUUCACAUGAUGUUUAAUUUCUAAAUAAUUUAGGUAUUCGCAGAUGAUAUUUUGGCGGACAGUGACACCAUAUGGAGAAGGGGCACGAAAUUUUCAACUCAUGUUUUUGAUCUUCAGUGAUAGUAGCAUUUGUUGACCCCUUUAAGACGAUGGUAUUCUGUCAUGGUAACCUCCUCACACUCGACUUUUUUCACUAGAAGUAGAUUUUUAUCCUUGUUUAUUUCCUCUCCCUCAGAUUCUUCUCUUUUUAGGUUGAGUUCAGUUUUCAGUGUCUUGAUCCUGCGUAGAUUAAUUUCAAAAUGCACACAACCUUGACUCUGAUUGGCAAAUUAGUCUUGUUUAGUGUAUAGCGGUGUUGCAGGUUGUGGUGAUUUGGAACCCACUCCUUUGAUCUGUUUUGCUAAGAAUGGAGUUUUAGUCCUCUGGUAUUUCAGUGACUUUAUUCUGCAUAGAUUAAUUUCAAAAUGCACACAACCUUGAUUCUGAUUAGCAAAUUAACUCUUGUUUAGUGUAUAGUGGUGUUGCAGGUUGUGGUGAUUUGAAAUCCACUCCUUUGAUCUUUUUAGCUAAGAAUGGAUUUUUAGUCCUCUGGUACCAUUUCUGUCAUUUGAUCCUCUUACAAAAGGCUUCCUUUUUAUACAUUGCUUUAUUCCUUAGGAAUUUGCAGUUUUAAGCGGUUGAUGACAGGGAAAAAAACGCCGUUAAUUGUUUGCUGGGGUUUGUUAUAAAUGAUGUUUCUGUGAGUUGAUUGGAAUAUAAUCUUCACAUACAUAUUGGUACAGAAUCUGGUUUCCUUUGGUGCUUCAUCCACAGCUGGAAAUCGCUUUGGUCAAAUAAAAAUGGAUAUUUACGGAAUAAACGGUGUAAGAUUUUCCUUUCUUUUUCUUCGCUCAUUUCUAGUUCAUCAGUCUCAGUUGUGUAUUGGGGGAGUUCACGAGCUUGAUCAGUUUACAAAGACCAAGGGCAUGCUAAGGGCAACUUAUUCAUUGUUCACUGCCGCUACAUGUGUAUUGGUAAAUUGGAAUCUUUCUUUGUCUCUGCUCUAACAUGAAAUGGAAUCUAGUUCUUUUCAAUCUUUUAAAUCAUCUUAGGUUCCCUGAUGUGUUUCUGCAUUUGCUGAUAGAUUCGACCGGAAGAGGAUGACACAUGUAACUGAUAAGGUGUUAAGUUUAUGUGUGGUGUUAGUUUAUGAUUUUGUUGGCCUUUUUACCUAUAGCUUGUUCUCCCUACCUUUGUAGACAAGGCCUUCAACUUGAAAGGAAGGAAUUCAUUUGGACGUUGGCCUUUUUACCUGUAGUUUGUUCUCCCUACCUUUAUAGACAAGGCCUUCAACUUGAAAGGAAGGAAUUCAUUUGAACUUUACACGGGUCAGGAAUCUAUGGUAAAGUGGUUUUCAGGAUGGUGGAGCCAAUAUUGUUAAUUUUUUGUUGUGGUUUGUUUUAAUGAUAUAUUUUUAAGAGUUGCUUGGAAUGUGAUUUUCACUUCAUAUUGGUACAGAAUCUGGUUUUCUUUGGUGCUUUUUCAUUCACAGCUGGAAAUCCUUUGGUCAAAUAAUAUUCGAUUCUUAUGUAAGAAAGGGUGUAAAAUUCUUCUCUUUUCUUUGCUCAUUUCUGGUUCAUCAGUUUCAAUGUGUGCGUUGGGGUUGUUUAUGUGGAGUCUGAUCAUUUUAUGAGGUCUGGGCUGUGAAGGGAAACUAUUUUGCAGCUAAAUUCGCAUUGGCGAUUACAUCUGUCUUUGCUCUACAUGAACUGGAAUCUGGGCUUUUUUCAGCUUAGUAUAAAAUGCCUUAGGUUUUUGAUGUUCCUCCAUGUGCAGAUAAGAUUUGACGGGGAGAGGUCUGAGAGGAUGACACAUGAAUCAGGUAAAUAUUAAGGUGUUAGCUUUGUGUGUGUGGGUUUAUGAAUUAGGUAGUUCUCUCUGCAUUUCUGGACCUUCAACUUGAAAGGAAAGAAUUCAUUGGAACUUAUUUCUCGUCAGGGGUCUUCUUGUUGGAUAGAUGAAACAACAUACUAUUUAUAAAGAAAGAUUAAGCUCCCUCGAUACUGUCCAUCUGUUUGAAAUUAUCAAUAGUUGUAGUUAUCAUGAAUUGUCCUCUAUAUUAAAGUCUGGCAUGUACUGCACAGGAAUUUCCAAUAUAGCUUAAUGACAGUUCCUUGGGGUCUUCUUGGAUGUUCAGUUAUAAAGAUAGGUCACCAGUUGAUAACUUCCAUGCUAUGGUACUGAUAUGCACAAAGAAAAAAUUGAUUGACUGCAUGGUAAUUUCCUAUACUGCACAUAAAUCCUUUAUUGUCAUAAUCAGAUGUUGGGCUCUUUGGACUGUUGCUUACGGGUACUGCUAUCGAGCACUAGUGCUUAUCUAAGUGUUGGAUUUUUUAUUUUCUAAAAUAUAGGAUGCAGGAACAUUUCUAAAAAGAGUUCAAAUUUCAUAUACGGAUACGUGAGUAUUUCUUUAAUACUUCAAUUUUUUUUUUACUAAUCUAAAAUGUAAUUUUGAAUAGACCAAAAUAAAUUAUUCACAAAGAAGGAAAUAGAUAUUGAAUUAGAGGUUAAGACGAGUAAAAUAGAAUUUUGAGACGUAGUUUUUAAUCAUGGGAAUUACUAAAUGUUAUAUAAAAUAGAAAAUGAAGAAUUUGAUUGCAAUUUGGACUUAGUGAAGCACUAAUUAGUACUAUAUGAAACUUAUUUUUAUUUUAUACAAACAAAACCCUAAAUCACCAUUACAAAGAGAGAAGGAAAAAAGAAGAAAUUGGAAAGAAAAAAUAAAUAGGAAGAAAAAGAAAGGAAAAGAAGAGUUCGAGCAUUAGAGGCAAUUACUAUAACCGUAUUUUCAACUGGCACGUCGUCUUUAUAUGUAUGCCUUGGUUUUGGUUAAUGUUUCUCUGAUUGGUAUAUAUGACAUUUAAAGGUUUUAAUUAAUUUUUCUUUUUUGUAUAUCUAUCCAAUGGUGUAAAAAAAAGAAUCGAAUAGAAUAGGUCCUUUCUAAAU